AGAAUACGCAAGCUUCCUGGCAUAACGAAAAACUUAUAGGGCCCCUAAAGCACACAAAAUUACUACACAACAAAAUUGCGCAAACCGUAUUUUGGAGAAACGUUUCUCAACACGAUCUGGACACCAAAAUGUCAACACUAGAUUAAAAAUUUCGCAGUUGUCGUCAUACGCAGCACAAAUUAUUAUACAAUAACACAAGCAUGAACAUAAUAUCAAAAUGAUUUUGAUUUUAGUGGAAUGACUGUGCAAUGUAGUACAAACAACCCCAUACACCACUCAAACGACCGACGCAAACCCGAUAUUUUUGUAUGGUUUAGGGGCCCUGUUUGGUCAGAUGCAUAACACUGUGGCUGCUCAAAGUACUUACGCUCGUACAUAUGGAUGUUCAUCAGCCGCUUCGAAUUCAACCCUAGCACAAGUCACUUACAGACAUAUAAGUCAUACCAGGAAAAUAUUACGGGAUCAUUCCCAUAACUUGUACAUGAUUUUGCUUAAGAAUAAAUAGAUCUUAAGCGCAUAACUGUUGAUGAAAAACCUCACUUGAAAUAAAGAAAACGGACUGUCAGCGACGAAAGUGUUUUUUUUUCUUAGCUGGAACAAAGUGGCAACCGUGAGAGGACUUGUCACCAUAUUACUUGUCCUGUCUAAGAAAAGCCAAAGGAAAUCUCAAUCCAUUUCUUUUGACGUUCGUUCGGAGUUUUUUCAUCGCACUUGGCAUCCUGCACACAAACCUGGGAUCAUCAGCAGCGUCCGAGGAAGCUGUUGGAGGCAGUGUAGCUGGUGCAUCAAAUCUUGCAACAAUUGCAAAUUAUCUCUGCUAAGUACAGUAUCAAUCAUCUUUACUUGCCACUCAACAUUGUCGUCGCAGCUGAAGAGUCAUUACCAGUGAACGGAUUUUUAGGACCUAAAAACCUAUAAAAAAGGCAAAAUAAAGUAACGAAAUAUGCUGGAAAAGGCAAAAUAAA